AUGAUGUUACAAUAUCACGACGGUCAACGUAGCCAUAUGCUUUGACGAUAACGCCUGUGACAAGGCACUU